AGAAGAUUGAAGUAAAAUCUUUGGAGAUUCAGAAGAAGAUUGAAGUAAAAUCUUUGGAGAUUCAGAAGAAGAUUGAAGUAGAAUCUUUGAAGGUUCAGGUAUUACCUCUA